rnacentral:rRNA from 1 species
CCUACGGGAGGCAGCAGUGGGGAAUAUUGGGCAAUGGAGGAAACUCUGACCCAGCGACGCCGCGUGCGGGAUGAAGGCCUUCGGGUUGUAAACCGCUUUCAGCAGGGAAGAAGCGAAAGUGACGGUACCUGCAGAAGAAGCACCGGCUAACUAUGUGCCAGCAGCCGCGGUAAUACAUAGGGUGCAAGCGUUGUCCGGAAUUAUUGGGCGUAAAGAGCUCGUAGGUGGUUCGUCACGUCGGAUGUGAAAAUCUGGGGCUUAACCCCAGACCUGCAUUCGAUACGGGCGAGCUUGAGUAUGGUAGGGGAGUCUGGAAUUCCUGGUGUAGCGGUGGAAUGCGCAGAUAUCAGGAGGAACACCAAUGGCGAAGGCAGGACUCUGGGCCAUUACUGACACUGAGGAGCGAAAGCGUGGGGAGCGAACAGGAUUAGAUACCCUGGUAGUCCACGCCGUAAACGGUGGGCACUAGUUGUGGGGACCUUCCACGGUCUCUGCGACGCAGCUAACGCAUUAAGUGCCCCGCCUGGGGAGUACGAUCGCAAGNUUAAAACUCAAAGGAAUUGACGGCUGAGACCGNGCGAGACGACGACGAGGGAGAGG